AGGGUUUUUAAUUCUAAAUUUUUUGCGUAUACUAUCUGGGCUAACUUGUUAGCUAUGGUAAUAAACGGAUCGUGGAAUAAGCGUAGCGGACCCGGGGGCAGUACCCGGCGCCUCCACCAAGUAGUGUCGACACGCUAAUGAGGGGGCGAAACAGGAUCGACGCGCGUUGUAAAGACGUUACUUUUACUCGGCAUGGUACCACCGUUAUCGGACUAAUAGAGUAGUUGCAAAUGACAACUAUGCGGAGGCACGCCUCGCUGCGUAAGCAGUCGGGUAGCCUUAUUUAAGUCCAUAUGGCUCGCACCGUAUGGCGGGGUUCGGGGUGCACCUGGCAACAGAAGCACCUCAUA
rnacentral:tmRNA from 1 species